rnacentral:rRNA from 1 species
CCUACGGGUGGCAGCAGUGAGGAAUAUUGGUCAAUGGGCGCGAGCCUGACCAGCCAAGUAGCGUGAAGGAUGACUGCCCUACGGGUUGUAAACUUCUUUUAUAAAGGAAUAAAGUGAGGCACGUGCGCCUUUUUGUAUGUACUUUAUGAAUAAGGAUCGGCUAACUCCGUGCCAGCAGCCGCGGUAAUACGGAGGGUGCGAGCGUUAUCCGGAUUUUUUGGGUUUAAAGGGAGAGUAGAUGGGUUGUUAAGUUAGUUGUGAAAGUUGGGGGCUCAACCGGCAAAUUGCAAUUGAUACUGGGAGUCUUGAGUACAGUUGAGGUAGGCGGAAUUCGUGGUGUAGCGGUGAAAUGCUUAGAUAUCACGAAGAACUCCGAUUGCGAAGGCAGCUUACUAGACUGCCACUGACGUUGAUGCUCGAAAGUGUGGGUAUCAAACAGGAUUAGAUACCCGAGUAGUC